rnacentral:rRNA from 1 species
UACGGAGGGUGCAAGCGUUAUCCGGAUUCACUGGGCUUAAAGGGCGCGUAGGCGGGCCCGCGAGCCCGGGGUGAAAUCCUCCGGCCCAACCGGGGAACCGCCCCGGGGACUGCGGGCCUCGAGGGGGGUAGGGGCGUGCGGAACUAUGGGUGGAGCGGUGAAAUGCAUUGAUAUCCAUAGGAACUCCGGUGGCGAAGGCGGCACGCUGGACCCUCUCUGACGCUGAGGCGCGAAAGCCAGGGGAGCGAACGGG